UACAGAGGUCUCAAGCGUUGUUCGGAUUCAUUGGGCGUAAAGGGCGCGUAGGCUGCGGGGCAAGUCGGGUGUGAAAUCUCAGAGCUCAACUCUGAAACUGCACUCGAUACUGCUUUGCUCGAGGACUGGAGAGGAGAUUGGAAUUCACGGUGUAGCAGUGAAAUGCGUAGAGAUCGUAAGGAAGACCAGUGGCGAAGGCGGGUCUCUGGGCAGUUCCUGACACUGAGGCACGAAGGCCAGGGGAGCAAACGGG
rnacentral:rRNA from 1 species